GAUGAACGCUGGCGGCGUGCCUAAUACAUGCAAGUCGAGCGAACGGACGAGAAGCUUGCUUCUCUGAUGUUAGCGGCGGACGGGUGAGUAACACGUGGAUAACCUACCUAUAAGACUGGGAUAACUUCGGGAAACCGUAGCUAAUACCGGAUAAUAUUUUGAACCGCAUGGUUCAAAAGUGAAAGACGGUCUUGCUGUCACUUAUAGAUGGAUCCGCGCUGCAUUAGCUAGUUGGUAAGGUAACGGCUUACCAAGGCAACGAUGCAUAGCCGACCUGAGAGGGUGAUCGGCCACACUGGAACUGAGACACGGUCCAGACUCCUACGGGAGGCAGCAGUGGGGAAUCUUCCGCAAUGGGCGAAAGCCUGACGGAGCAACGCCGCGUGAGUGAUGAAGGUCUUCGGAUCGUAAAACUCUGUUAUUAGGGAAGAACAGAUGUGUAAGUAACUGUGCACAUCUUGACGGUACCUAAUCAGAAAGCCACGGCUAACUACGUG
rnacentral:rRNA from 1 species